rnacentral:pre_miRNA from 1 species
UUUCUGUUGUAAAGCGAUUGUUAUACUUGUUUCUGUUGUAAAGCAAUUGUUAUACUUGUUUCUGACAACAGAAACAAGUAUAACAAUCGCUUUACAACAGAAACAA